UUGCCUCCAUUGAUGGAACUUGAACAGUUUGCUGUUAUUCUUUUGGUUUGCACUAGAACACAAAAGAAAAUACUCUGUCUUUGUGGUGGCACAGAUUGAAUAACGGAAUAUAUCU